rnacentral:rRNA from 1 species
GAAGAAAAAGGGAGGAGGGAGGAACACAGGCAAGUCGAACGUUGAACCCGCUUCGGUGGGGGAUGAGUGGCGAACGGGUGAGUAACACGUGGGCAACCUGCAAACGGCUCUGGGAUAACUCCAAGAAAUUGGGGCUAAUACCGGAUGUGACCGCUGGCCGCAUGGUCUGGUGGUGGAAAGGGUUUCCGGCUGGGGAUGGGCCCGCGGCCUAUCAGCUUGUUGGUGGGGUAGUGGCCUACCAAGGCGACGACGGGUAGCCGGCCUGAGAGGGUGACCGGCCACACUGGGACUGAGACACGGCCCAGACUCCUACGGGAGGAAGCAGUGGGGAAUAUUGCGACAUGGGCGGAAGCCUGACGCAGCGACGCCGCGUGGGGGAUGACGGCCUUCGACUUGUAAACCUCUUUCAGCAGGGACGAAGCGCAAGUGACGGUACCUGCAGAAGAAGCACCGGCCAACUACGUG